AAAACAGUAUCUGGUAAUGAAAUCAGUCACGAAGGAAGCGGACUUCUCCUGACUUACCAAUGUGACAAGAAGCACCACAGAUGUAGUCAAGUCCAAUUCUCUUACUUCACACAUGAGGAUACUGAGGACUGGGAGGAGUGUAUUCAUGUUACAUUCGGGAUUAGAACUCAGUUUUCCUUCGUCACCAAUUUCAAACAUUCAGUGAAAAUGAUGAUACAAUGAACACCCUAUACCCACCACUACAUUGAUUCAAUGAUUAACAUUUUGUCAUAUUUGCUGACUGUAUUUGCAAAACCAUUUAAACGUAAUUUGUACACCUUGUGACAAUUCAUCUCUAAAGAUUUCAGCAUAUAUUUCCUAAGAUCAGGAUAUUCUUUUAUAUACCCACAAUACCAUUAUAAAAAUAACUAAAAAUAAUUCCUUAAUGUAUCUAAUACCUAGUCCAUUUUCUAAAUUUUGAAAUGUGUGUCUCAAAAUGUCUUUUAUAAUUUUUUUCCUCAAAUUACAAUCUAGUCAAGAUAUCUCAUUGCAUUCAUUUUAUCUUUAUCAUCUCUGUUCGUCUGGAACAUUCUCCAAACACUUCUUUUUGGGAUGUUAACUUUUUGUAAAAUGCCCCAUGGCACACUAGGGAAAGUGGCAUACAAAGCUGAGGCCUGAAGGUGAAUAAGUAUGUGUCAUCAAAUGAAGAAGUAUGGAAAAAGGGAAAAGAUUUUCUAAGCCUUUGUUUCUCUGUUCUGGCCACAACCCCAGAAGUCAGAGGCCCAACCUGAGUUACUGUGGAAGAGGACAGAAUAUUUGGUGCCCCCUCCAUGGCAAACAAACAAGACACUACCCUGCAAUUGAAAGGGACAGUAUUUCUCUUAUUCCAAGUACACUUGAGAUAGAAAAUAAUACAUUUCUUUUAAAUGACAAGUAGUUGCAAAUGCAAACUCAUAAAGAUCCACAUCUUUAUGAGAAGGAGUUAACAAUCUCUUCACAGUAAUUCUGGGAUUAGGAGAUGAGACCAUGUUUCUACAUGAAGACACAGAUACCUCUCCAAAGAUACUCACCCCUCCUGGUCUGUAAACUUUUGAAAAUUAGAACAGCAUUUUGUUCAAUUUUAUUCUCAGUGUCUAGCAGCUCAAUAAAUAUUAGUUGAAUGCACAAGUCAGUUAUAAAGUCAAUUGAAUAAUAUUUGCAUUUCUGCCUUUCUAUAUUAAAUACUUUGUUGGGCAUAGCAACAAUUUAUUUUCCUGAACUCCUCACCACGCAUGUUUACCAUAUGCCCUGAUACCAAGCCUUCUUUCUCAUGGUAUCUCUGUAAACUGGAAAAAUAGUACAGGAAGUGUCCUGACACAGUGUUCCACUGUUCCCAAUAUAUCAAA
rnacentral:lncRNA from 10 species